rnacentral:tmRNA from 1 species
UUGGCCGUGGCGCUAAAGCAAGGCGGCUGGUUUGCCCGCAGCCCGUCCGUCGGCGGUGGGGGAACGAGAUCCAAAUGGCGCGACUAAGCAUGUAGUCCCGACUGUGGAGUGCUUCCGGACGCGAGUUCGAUUCUCGCCACCUCCACCA